rnacentral:lncRNA from 1 species
UCAUUCUAUCAGAAAUAGAAUCUAUUUCUUCUAUUUUAUCCUUGUAAUUUCUCUGUUCCACAAUAUUCUUUCUCUGGCAGCCUUGGGAUUUGUCUUGACUGAGGCAACUUGUAUGUGCAGUGGAAGGACACUAAGCUGGGUUACAGAGAUCAGAAGAAUGGACCCGUGUCAAGUGCUUUGUCUUCUGACUAAUGAUGAUGGGCUUGAGUCUCCUAGAACUUUCCCCAGCAAAAUACUCUUCUAGUGAUGUGCUGUCACGAGGAUUACAGCAGGACACUUCCACCUUUUUCUGUUUCCAUACAUCUCAGGUCCAGCCUCAUCAUCAGCCUCAGUCUGUAUAUUAGAAUCAACUACCAAAGUGCC